CCAUCCAUAACAUUUUCUAGAUUCCCUCGCACCUUGGAACUCUAUCCCAAAUAUAAUGUAAAUAUCAAUAACUAUAUUUUUUAACAUUGCACCAAAUUUUAGCAAUAAAAAAACUAUGAUUUUAAACAACCUUUUGGGUUAGAACUGGUGUUUAAAAUAAAGUUUACUCUAAAAACAUCAUAUGCUAAAAUACGGAAAAAUCAUCAAACUCUUCUCUAUUCUUUUUUUUCUUCUCUCUAUUCUUAUUGCCUAGGUCCUCUGGUUAAAUAUUUAUUUUAUCCCAUAUGGAAAAACUUGGAUCGAUAUCUAUGGCCGGUAACAAGACCAAAUGGCUUAUAACGAAAAAAAAAAAAAAACGAACAAGCUAUUAAAUCUCCGGCCAUCGAACGCGGUUACUUAAUAUGAUUUCUCAAAUCCUUUAUCAAAAAAAUAAAAUAAUAUAUAUAUAUGAUUUCUCAGAUCUGACUAAAUCAUCUUCAAAAAUCAGAAUUUUUUAAGUACCAUAUUUGAUGGAUGUAUUAAAGUUUUGUCCAUGCAUGGUUUAUGCAUCAGAGUUCGCCUUAUAUGGUAAACUCAUAAUAGUAUAUAUCUACCCAAAAUAAGUUAUACAUUUAUGGAUUCCUUCUUUAUGUCAAGAACGGUUACCUAACUCCAAUUGGCACUAAAUCUUUAAAGACGCUUACGCAUGAGAUCAUCUUGUCCCCUUUGAG
rnacentral:lncRNA from 1 species